rnacentral:rRNA from 1 species
GCUGGCGGCGGCUUACAAUGCAACCCGAGCGGGGUAGUGGUGCUUGCACUAUACUUAGCGGCGGGAGGAUGAGUAAUGCUUAGGAAUCUGCCUAUUAGUGGGGGACAAUAUCUCGAAAGGAAUGCUAAUACCGCAUACGUCCUACGGGAGAAAGCAGGGGAUCUUCGGACCUUGCGCUAAUAGAUGAGCCUAAGUCGGAUUAGCUAGUUGGUGGGGUAAAGGCCUACCAAGGCGACGAUCUGUAGCGGGUCUGAGAGGAUGAUCCGCCACACUGGGACUGAGACACGGCCCAGACUCCUACGGGAGGCAGCAGUGGGGAAUAUUGGACAAUGGGCGCCAGCCUGAUCCAGCCAUGCCGCGUGUGUGAAGAAGGCCUUAUGGUUGGAAAGUACUUUAAGCGAGGAGGAGGCUACUCUAGUUAAUACCUAGAGAUAGUGGACGUUACUCCCCGAAGAACACCGGCUUACUCUGUGAGCUCUUCCGCGGUAAUACCCAGGGAGGGAGCGUUCAACUGAUUUACAGGAAGCAAAGUGCGCGCAGGCGGGUGAUUACCCCAAUGUGUAAAUUCCGAGUUUAACUUGGGGAUUGUAUUCCACACCGGUUAACUAAAGGGUGUGAGAGGAGGGU